rnacentral:tRNA from 1 species
GGCGGCCCAGGCGGGCGAGGCGGCGCCGGUGCCGGCCGGCGACCGGAAGGCCUGGGCGUUCCUGCCGCUGGCCGCCGCC